CCAGCCCCCAACCCCAGCUGUAGACGAAAGAACACGAAAUCUGGUAACUCCGAGCAGACUUUAUGACCUGAUAGCCAUCACUAUUUACCCAGGUAAAUCGAGCCACAGUUAAAGUUUGAAAAACAGAAACAAACACAACAAGCAAGGCCGGAAACGGAACGAGUUGCAGCGACUGCGCUGAGGUGUCGGUGCGGAGGGCAGGUUUGUAUACUGACAAGAGAAAUACACGAAUUUUAUUAGGAUUUUGUGCAGAUUUCAACAAUGUGAUUCCAGAACUAAAUGGAAUAAACAAAAGGCUGCGGUGAAGGCUCGUGAACAGGCAUAUUCAACAAGGCCAAAUGCUACAGAGACAUAUGAUAACAACGGACCCCUCUGAAUGUCUUUCUGUGGUAAGAGAUGCUAAAUCUGUUUGCUUUAGAAUAUAUUUGAGUGUUGCAACUGCUGGAAAAGUCCCCAAAUCUAGAGAACUGAGAAAGAAGAGAAUGGUAGCCUGCUCUAUGGUUGGCACUUAAUUCAUCCUAACUUUGGAUUUUAGAGUGACGGGAUUAUUAAAAAAACGAGUUACUCUGUCUGAUCACAUCUAAGAUUAGACACUGGAUACAGGGGAAAUGGAAAACUAUUUAACAUUAUCCAAAGCUUCAGAUUUCUUUGUGUGUAAAAUUUGGCCAAUAUGGUUAUGGCCUAAAUAUUGUUAACAGAGGGCCACUGUCAGAUUCUGCAAGUGUCUUGUAAACAAAUACUACAUUUUGUACUGGCACAGUUUGUUUGUUUUUACAUUAUUUAUGCUUAAUUCUGACAAGUGACAGAAACAAAGUGGAUUCUGCACCUUUAGAAAACAUAUUGCCCAGCCAGCGAGAGCAGUUCAGCGNCCUUUGCACGCAGAGCUGGUAUGGAUCCCCACGCCUUCAUGCAGACCUCUGGAGACAGUGCC
rnacentral:sRNA from 1 species